UACGGAGGGCGCUAGCGUUGUUCGGAAUUACUGGGCGUAAAGCGCACGUAGGCGGCUUUGUAAGUUAGAGGUGAAAGCCCGGAGCUCAACUCCGGAACUGCCUUUAAGACUGCAUCGCUUGAAUCCAGGAGAGGUGAGUGGAAUUCCGAGUGUAGAGGUGAAAUUCGUAGAUAUUCGGAAGAACACCAGUGGCGAAGGCGGCUCACUGGACUGGUAUUGACGCUGAGGAGCGAAAGCGUGGGGAGCGAACAGG
rnacentral:rRNA from 1 species